UACGUAGGUGGCAAGCGUUGUCCGGAAUUAUUGGGCGUAAAGCGCGCGCAGGCGGUCCUUUAAGUCUGAUGUGAAAGCCCACGGCUCAACCGUGGAGGGUCAUUGGAAACUGGGGAACUUGAGUGCAGAAGAGGAAAGUGGAACUCCAAGUGUAGCGGUGAAAUGCGUAGAGAUUUGGAGGAACACCAGUGGCGAAGGCGACUUUCUGGUCUGUAACUGACACUGAGGCGCGAAAGCGUGGGGAGCGAACGGG
rnacentral:rRNA from 1 species